GACGUAGGGCGCGAGCGUUGUCCGGAUUUAUUGGGCGUAAAGAGCUCGUAGGCGGCUUGUUACGUCGACUGUGAAAACCCACGGCUCAACCGUGUGGUCUGCAGUCGAUACGGGCAGGCUAGAGUGUGGUAGGGGAGAUCGGAAUUCCUGGUGUAGCGGUGAAAUGCGCAGAUAUCAGGAGGAACACCGGUGGCGAAGGCGGAUCUCUGGGCCAUUACUGACGCUGAGAAGCGAAAGCGUGGGGAGCGAACAGG
rnacentral:rRNA from 1 species